AAGUCGUAACAAGGUUUCCGUAGGUGAACCUGCGGAAGGAUCAGUAGAGAGAGAGGGGAGUAGUUGGGGAGGGGAGAGGAGAGGGAGAGAGGGAAGGGGUUUUGUGGUGAGGGGAGAGAGGGAGAGGGAGAGGAAGUGUGUGGGAGGGGGAGAGAGUGGCAGGGGGGGAGGAUUUUGCCUGCCCCUCGGGUGCUCGAAACCAGAGACCAAACGACUGACCGACCCGAUUGAUUGAUGAUUGAUUAGUUGAUUGACUAGUUGAUUGGUCGAUCCGAUCUCGAACCAGAGGACAGGCCUCUAGCCCUAGCCCUAGCCAAGCCAAACCAAACCAACUAGUUCAAAAAUAUAUUUACGCGUGUCGAGUAUGACUGAGUAAAGGGGAGAAAAGGGAGAAAACAACUUUUAACAAUGGAUCUCUUGGCUCUU
rnacentral:misc_RNA from 1 species